AUACGGAGGGUGCGAGCGUUGUUCGGAUUUAUUGGGCGUAAAGCGCGUGUAGGCGGUUUUUAAGUCUGAUGUGAAAGCCCCGGGCUCAACCUGGGAAGUGCAUUGGAUACUGGAAGACUUGAGUACGGGAGAGGGUAGUGGAAUUCCUAGUGUAGGAGUGAAAUCCGUAGAUAUUAGGAGGAAUACCGGUGGCGAAGGCGGCCCCCUGGACAAAGACUGACGCUCAGGUGCGAAAGCGUGGGGAGC
rnacentral:rRNA from 1 species